GUUCACUUACAGACUUUGAGAUGAUCAUAUUUUCAGCUGAAAAUGGAACUGCUUAUGUUUGUUUUUGUAGUUGUAAUUUCAGCUGUCACAGCAACCGGCCCAACACAAGAUCCUAAUGAAGCUGCUAGUCCUGAGAAUGUGACUGAAGGUAGGCCUAUUUAUUUAUCUAUUUAUACAUCCAUCCAACCAUCCAUGCAUCCAUCUUUCCAUACGUCCUUCCUUUUUCUUUCUUUCUUUCUUUCUUUCUUUCUUUCUUUCUUUCUUUCUUUCUUUCUUUUCGAAUGAAUGAAUAAAGGCAAAUUCAUGUUUUCA
ensembl:lncRNA